UACGAAGGGGGCUAGCGUUGUUCGGAUUUACUGGGCGUAAAGCGCACGUAGGCGGAUUGUUAAGUCGGGGGUGAAAUCCUGGAGCUCAACUUCAGAAUUGCCUUCGAUACUGGCUUUCUAGAGGCUGGAAGAGGUUAGUGGAAUUCCCAGUGUAGAGGUGAAAUUCGUAGAUAUUCGGAGGAACACCAGUGGCGAAGGCGGCUCACUGGUCCGGACCUGACGCUGAGGCGCGAAAGCGUGGGGAGCAAACAGG
rnacentral:rRNA from 1 species